rnacentral:pre_miRNA from 1 species
UCACCAGGGAUCCUGUUAAAAUGUGACGUCUGGGUGGGGCCUGGGAUUCUGCAUUUCUGACAAGCUCCCAGGCAAUGC